ACAAAAAAAAAAAAAAAAAAACCUACGAAUUACUGCUACACACGCUGCUGAAGCAUUCUAAUCCAAUCCUUAUUUACCGCAGGACAAGACGAAGCAUUGGCACUCUAGAGAAACCUAAACCCCCAAUACGACCUUGAACCCAAGAAGUAAUCAAGGACCGAUAAUGAAUCUUGAUCCAAACGCAGCUCAAGGUAUCCCAAUGUAAGUCAAGACCCAAUCAAGAAUUUUCAACAAAGCACAAAAAUUUCACCUUCAACGUAAAAGUCAGUGGAAAGGAGCAAAAGGACAUGUAAUCAAAACCUGACCAGCGAGCUCUCUUUUCUCCGCACAAUUGCGCACUAAAUCCCUCUUGCACACUGAGAGAGAGGGGGCGAGGAUUGAGAGAAAUAGCAGAAUAAUCUUUUUUAAAAUUUUCACAAUGGAAAAACUUUUGGAUUCUGGGUACUGGGUCUUGGGUCCCGACUUGACUUCAUCAGUUAAGAGACAGCUCUUCUCGUUCUCAGUCCAUUUCUUUUAUGGCAAGGGAUGGGAGACGCUGCAAAAACAUCGAUUCAUACUUCAAUAUGCGGUAAAAUUAAAACAUUCGUUUUAUGUUUUCACUGCGACGUCGUUGGGAUCCUAGUUCAGGCACCCGGAUGCCAGGUCCGUUAGAUUUCUGAAUAUCAACAUCGG
rnacentral:misc_RNA from 1 species